rnacentral:lncRNA from 1 species
CCAGGGCCUGUGUAACCAAGUCCUCAACCUUUACCAUAGUUUAAAAUCUCAAAUCUAGAUCUAGGCAAAUCAGUGUAAGAUUUGUUAUUGCCAGGUGUGGUAGUAAAUGCCAUUAAUCCCAGCACUCAGAAGUCAGUCUGAUAUUUGUGACUUUGAAGCCAGCAUGUGCACAUGAGUUCAGGGCACCCAAGACUAUAUAUACAAUAAGAGUAUUUCAAUAAUGAUGAUGAUGAUUAAGGGAGGAGGAGGAGGAGGAGAAGUAGUAGUAGUAGUAGUAGCAGCAGCAGCAGCAGCAGCAGCAGCAGAAGGAGAAGUACUAGUAGUAGCAGCCGCCACCGCUGCUGCCUGGUGUGGUAGUAUACACCUUUUGUCCCAGCACUCUGGAGGCAGAGAUCCACCACCACCGCCUGGCUUACUUCAACCAUGAUUUGCUGGAAAGACAUUUAAGUUCUGACCAAACCAACUGAGGUAUUCUAACAAUAGCUAAACGAAUAAAUCCCAUUAUACUUAUCAGGUUCAAUAACAGGAUUUGUUUGGUAACAUUUUGAUCAAUAUAGAGCACACUUCCCUCUAAAGUCUGAAAUUUUAAACACUAAGAAUAGCUUUUAAAGUAUAUUAUUUUUUAUUUAAUCUGUUUCAAAAU